CAUGUUCAGGAACACAACAAAAACAGUGUAGCAGAAGUUGAAAUAUUUAUCAAUGCUGCACUGACAUCAAAGUAUGAAACCGGCUCCGUGAUUAUUAAAACUUCAGAUGUGUCGAUCAAGCACAUAGUGCCUGCAAACUGUUUAGAAGAAACUACUUCAACAAUAUAUGGAGAAUAUAUUUGGCCUGAAGCUUUCCCACAAGACACCCAAGAGAUGAGAUGCAGAAAGCCAAAAUCAAAGCUAGCAUUCAGGCUUUGUAAGUUAGACAUUGAAACUGACACGACCAGCUGGGCUGAUCCCAAUAUGAAAAACUGCAAACAGCUUGUGGACAUAUCAGACCUCGACAAUGUUACUGUCACUACUGGUAACGCGGCUGAGGUCGUGGACAUGAUUCAGGACCUUGUGGAUGUUAGGUUAGGGAACAGCACGGAG